rnacentral:rRNA from 1 species
GACAGAGGGUGCAAACGUUGUUCGGAAUUACUGGGCGUAAAGCGCGUGUAGGCGGCUAUGCAAGUCGGAUGUGAAAGCCCUCGGCUCAACCGGGGAAGUGCACCCGAAACUGCAAAGCUAGAGUCUCGGAGAGGAUCGUGGAAUUCUCGGUGUAGAGGUGAAAUUCGUAGAUAUCGAGAGGAACACCGGUGACGAAGGCGGCGAUCUGGACGAUGACUGACGCUGAGACGCGAAAGCGUGGGGAGCAAACAGG